rnacentral:rRNA from 1 species
UACGAAGGAUCCAAGCGUUGUCCGGAUUUACUGGGUUUAAAGGGUGCGUAGGCGGCCUUUUAAGUCAGUGGUGAAAGCUCGCAGCUUAACUGUGAAAUUGCCAUUGAAACUGAAAGUCUCGAGUGUGGUUGAGGUAACUGGAAUAUAUCAUGUAGCGGUGAAAUGCUUAGAUAUGAUAUAGAACACCAAUUGCGAAGGCAGGUUACUGAGCCACAACUGACGCUGAGGCACGAAAGCGUGGGGAUCAAACAGG